AUUGAACGCUGGCGGCAUGCCUUACACAUGCAAGUCGAACGGUAACGGGUUAAGCCGACGAGUGGCGAACGGGUGAGUAAUAUAUCGGAACGUGCCCAAUCGUGGGGGAUAACGCAGCGAAAGUUGUGCUAAUACCGCAUAAGAUCUACGGAUGAAAGCGGGGGAUCGCAAGACCUCGCGCGAGUGGAGCGGCCGAUAUCAGAUUAGCUAGUUGGUGGGGUAAAGGCCCACCAAGGCGACGAUCUGUAGCUGGUCUGAGAGGACGACCAGCCACACUGGGACUGAGACACGGCCCAGACUCCUACGGGAGGCAGCAGUGGGGAAUUUUGGACAAUGGGCGCAAGCCUGAUCCAGCAAUGCCGCGUGCAGGAUGAAGGCCUUCGGG
rnacentral:rRNA from 1 species